ACCGAAUUAAUGGGCCCAGAACGUUAUGGUCGAGUGAGGGGUUAUGGUGUUGGAGUUACCCCCACUCAGUUGUCUGCAGUGAGCCGAUAUACCCAAGAUGCUAGACAAGGUAGUAGCACUGCAGAGGUUUGUAGUCUGAAGGCAGAGAUGGCACAGAUAAAGCAGUCAUAUGAGACAAGGAUAGAGGAGAUGAGUCAGAGUCAUAGGACCGAUAUGGAGGAGUUGAAGCAGAGCCAAGAGUUGAAGAUACAAUCUUUGCAAGAUCAGCUUGACCAUAUUUCAUCCUUUUUGCAGAGAUUUGCUCCUCCGGUUGAUGAUACUUCAUCUACUCGUAGAGAUGAUGAUGCCGACCCUUGAUACAUAUUGUAGAUUGUGUCACUUGACAGCUAGGAGUGAUGUCUACAGCUUCGGGGUUGUCCUUCUUGAGCUCUUAACAGGACGCCGGUCUGUGGACAAGAUAUUCUAUAUUUUCUGAUUGUAUCAAUCUUUUUUCUGAAUGGAACA